rnacentral:lncRNA from 1 species
GGGCAGAUCGAACUGGACAAUCGCCCUAGGCCCCAGGCCUUGCAUUGAUGUUUCAAUGAAGUACAAAGAUGGCUUUCUACAAUAUUAUAAUAAAAAAUAAUUAAAUAGGUUAAUGAUGAGUUUUACAUGCUGCUUAAUGAACAUAUCUAUAGGAAAUUAUUGUAUGUAGAUUAAUUUUUCAAUGAUAAUUAAUAUUUAAAGUAUAUUAAUUUUUAAUAGAG